rnacentral:rRNA from 1 species
CGCGGCCUAUCAGCUUGUUGGUGAGGUAACGGCUCACCAAGGCGACGACGGGUAGCCGGCCUGAGAGGGCGACCGGCCACACUGGGACUGAGAUACGGCCCAGACUCCUACGGGAGGCAGCAGUGGGGAAUAUUGCACAAUGGGCGAAAGCCUGAUGCAGCAACGCCGCGUGCGGGAUGACGGCCUUCGGGUUGUAAACCGCUUUCAGCAGGGACGAAGCUAACGUGACGGUACCUGCAGAAGAAGCGCCGGCUAACUACGUGCCAGCAGCCGCGGUGAUACGUAGGGUGCGAGCGUUGUCCGGAUUUAUUGGGCGUAAAGAGCUUGUAGGCGGUUUGUUGCGUCGGAAGUGAAAACUCAGAGCUUAACUCUGAGCCUGCUUUCGAUACGGGCAGACUUGAGGGAUGUAGGGGAGAACGGAAUUCCUGGUGGAGCGGUGGAAUGCGCAGAUAUCAGGAGGAACACCAGUGGCGAAGGCGGUUCUCUGGACAUUUCCUGACGCUGAGAAGCGAAAGCGUGGGGAGCAAACAGGCUUAGAUACCCUGGUAGUCCACGCCGUAAACGGUGGGCACUAGGUGUGGGACCCUUCCACGGGUUCCGUGCCGUAGCUAACGCAUUAAGCGCCCCGCCUGGGGAGUACGGA